rnacentral:rRNA from 1 species
GACGAACGCUGGCGGCGUGCUUAACACAUGCAAGUCGAACGGAAAGGCCCUGCUUUUGUGGGGUGCUCGAGUGGCGAACGGGUGAGUAACACGUGAGUAACCUGCCCUUGACUUUGGGAUAACUUCAGGAAACUGGGGCUAAUACCGGAUAGGAGCUCCUGCUGCAUGGUGGGGGUUGGAAAGUUUCGGCGGUUGGGGAUGGACUCGCGGCUUAUCAGCUUGUUGGUGGGGUAGUGGCUUACCAAGGCUUUGACGGGUAGCCGGCCUGAGAGGGUGACCGGCCACAUUGGGAAUGAGGUACGGCCCCGACUCCUACGGGAGGCAGCAGUGGGGAAUAUUGCACAAUGGGCGGAAGCCUGAUGCAGCAACGCCGCGUGCGGGAUGACGGCCUUCGGGUUGUAAACCGCUUUCGCCUGUGACGAAGCGUGAGUGACGGUAAUGGGUAAAGAAGCACCGGCUAACUACGUG